GUAACACGUGGGCAACCUGCCUGUAAGACUGGGAUAACUUCGGGAAACCGAAGCUAAUACCGGAUAGGAUCUUCUCCUUCAUGGGAGAUGAUUGAAAGAUGGUUUCGGCUAUCACUUACAGAUGGGCCCGCGGUGCAUUAGCUAGUUGGUGAGGUAACGGCUCACCAAGGCAACGAUGCAUAGCCGACCUGAGAGGGUGAUCGGCCACACUGGGACUGAGACACGGCCCAGACUCCUACGGGAGGCAGCAGUAGGGAAUCUUCCGCAAUGGACGAAAGUCUGACGGAGCAACGCCGCGUGAGUGAUGAAGGCUUUCGGGUCGUAAAACUCUGUUGUUAGGGAAGAACAAGUACGAGAGUAACUGCUCGUACCUUGACGGUACCUAACCAGAAAGCCACGGCUAACUACGUGCCAGCAGCCGCGGUAAUACGUAGGUGGCAAGCGUUAUCCGGAAUUAUUGGGCGUAAAGCGCGCGCAGGCGGUUUCUUAAGUCUGAUGUGAAAGCCCACGGCUCAACCGUGGAGGGUCAUUGGAAACUGGGGAACUUGAGUGCAGAAGAGAAAAGCGG
rnacentral:rRNA from 2 species